AUUGAACGCUGGCGGCAGGCCUAACACAUGCAAGUCGAACGAGUGGCGGACGGGUGAGUAAUGUCUGGGCAACUGCCUGAUGGAGGGGGAUAACUACUGGAAAAGGUAGCUAAUACCGCAUACCAUCAGCUUUGCCCAGAUGGGAUUAGCUAGUUGGUGGGGUAACGUCUCACCAAGGCGACGAUCCCUAGCUGGUCUGAGAGGAUGACCAGCCACACUGGAACUGAGACACGGUCCAGACUCCUACGGGAGGCAGCAGUGGGGAAGAUUUCACAAUGGGCGAAAGCCUGAUGCAGCCAUGCCGCGUGUAUGAAGAAGGCCUUCGGGUUUUAAAGUACUGUCAGCGGGGAGGCGUUACCCGCAGAAGAAGCACCGGCUAACUCCGUGCCAGCAGCCGCGGUAAUAC
rnacentral:rRNA from 1 species